rnacentral:lncRNA from 1 species
AGCAGGAUCCCUCCCGCUGGCUCCGCCGCGCGUGGACGCCGCCCGCAGAGGGCAGCAGAGGUUCACGCUGGGCCGCCCGCCUGCCCACGGCGCUCUGGAAUGUGACAAGAGUACGGAGGGCAGCAGGGAGAGAUGAGCCAAGGAGGCAUCUUAGAGACCUUGUUCAGAUUCAGGAGGGAAGGAGACAAUCCUGACGCCAACGGGAUGCAUGGCUGUGACCAUUCAUGCAGCGGAGUCAACAAGAGCGAGGGAAUGGAAUUCGUGACUCCACACAAAGAAGCAAUCUUGGAGUUGCUUAGACAGGCUGUUGACCUCCUCAUUGGCCCUCCUGUUUCCAGAGUGAGCCCGUACAGAUGGCCACUGACAUGACAGCUACACCUGGUCACUGAGCACAGAAAUGCACCUCAUGCAGGUGAAGAGCUGGAUUUUAAUCUUAUUUAACAUUAAUUUUAACUGACACUCAUUUCGUUAGUGGA